CUGUAAAGCAUUGUUGUGAAGUAGAGUUAGUGGGCUGUGGAGUCUCCAACACUGCAGGUAUGGAAAAGGAAGUUAGACAAAUACCAGCCCAGAAUAGUGUAGAUAUCAUUGAUCCUGCUUUGAGAGAGGUGAUAGACUAGAUGGCCACUUGAGGUUCCUUAUUCUCCAUUGAUUCUAUCAAUUCUUCUAUAAUCCAAGGAAAAUAAUUAUUAUACAAACAUCUGGUAGAGGAGAAGCUGAAACAGCAAGGCAAGAAUGACAAUGAGAAUACGAAAUGGCUAAAGGAAAGAAACUAUGCUACCAUAGUUCAACAGACUGAGCAGACACUGAAGAAAAUAAGUGACUAUUUGUUUUUUCCUUUAGAGACAUUUGGAAGGAAACAAGAAAAAACAUGGAAAAGAAAAAUCAUGAAUUAUCCAAGUUGCAUUAAUAAUUCAUUUUAUUUUACCAGCCAAAUUCAGAUUUGUUUAAAAAAUAGUAUCUUUUCCCCAAAGAACAGUAGUGUAGCUGUGGUGAAAAUGUGCAUUUUGCUUACAAUUCAAACAAUGCCUUGUUGAAUUAAGUUUAUAGAUUGAAAAAGAGAAACACUAGAACACCUAUCGGGUGGAUUCACCAUGAAUCUUAGGUUGUCACAUUUAACCAUAUAUUCCAAGUUAAAUGGAAGUAUAAUGAGAGCAUAGAAAGACUUAGUAAGGAUAGAGAGUCUUAGUGAAAACAAUGCUGAAUGAGGCUGAUAAUUGAGUGUUUUACUGAAGUGUACCACACUGCUAAGACUUCACUGUGAGCACGUUUCAGGGAGAACAAGAACAAAAGUACAUCGUAAUAUAUGCAGUUGCUGCAGUUACUACGUAAGUAUUCACUCAUUAAAAUAAUAAAGAAAACCAACAAAUUGGUGUUACACUGGAAUGCAAGAAGAUGAGUAAACACUUGUGGAAAGGAUGCCUCCCUAAAAAGUCAAAGCGUGAGCCGUAUGCAUACCCUCUGCAAGAGACCUCAGAAUAUUCAUUAAAGGGGUUCUAAAGCAUGAAAUAGUUUGAAGGACUUCAGAAGUUUGGACCUCAUAAUUGUUCACAGGAUAUUUUUUUACAUUUGUGCUUUUCAAGGCAAAUUUGGUGCAUGUACUUUGCAGCUGCUGGACUGUGUUCAGAGUUCUGCAAGGUGAGUACAAAGUCAAGAAGCUUGACAUAUUUCUUGUCUCUUCUCCUUUGUUUCGUAACUUCCUCAUUCCACCAGAAGUGAACGUGAACCUGUCUAAUAUUUCAUAGAGGUGGUAUAAGAAGAUGGAAAGGACAAUUUUACCAAA